CACGCGGGUGACCCGGGUUCGAUCCC
rnacentral:siRNA from 1 species